AGGACGGAGAGGCUAACGACCUCAGAAAUGACUGCUACCAUACGCAGUGUGCUGUUUCGGAGUACGAAGGGACGCAGAUCAAGAGCUGUCAGUGACUUGGCCACCUGUGGAGAGAGAGGAGAACGAGAGUGAAUAAUUGAAGAACAGACUGUGAACGUGAUACCUACCCAGAGAGCUGUAAACAGCAGAGCCGUGGCCACCUGUGGAGGGAGAGGAGAACGAGAGUGA